rnacentral:rRNA from 1 species
UAGAGUUUGAUCCUGGCUCAGGAUGAACGCUAGCGACAGGCUUAACACAUGCAAGUCGAGGGGCAGCGGGGGUGAUGGCUUGCCAUCACCUGCCGGCGACCGGCGCACGGGUGAGUAACACGUAUGCAACCUGCCCGCCACAGGGGGAUAAGCGGAAGAAAUUCCGUCUAAUACCGCGUGACGCGGCGUCGGGGCAUCCCGGUGCCGCCAAAGGGAUUACCGGUGGCGGAUGGGCAUGCGGCGCAUUAGCUAGUCGGCGGGGUAACGGCCCACCGAGGCGACGAUGCGUAGGGGUUCUGAGAGGAAGGUCCCCCACACUGGUACUGAGACACGGACCAGACUCCUACGGGAGGCAGCAGUGAGGAAUAUUGGUCAAUGGGCGGGAGCCUGAACCAGCCAAGUCGCGUGAGGGAUGACGGUCCUACGGAUUGUAAACCUCUUUUGCCGGGGAGCAAGCGUGCGUUCGUGAACGCGCGUCGAGAGUACCCGGAGAAAAAGCAUCGGCUAACUCCGUGCCAGCAGCCGCGGUAAUACGGAGGAUGCGAGCGUUAUCCGGAUUUAUUGGGUUUAAAGGGUGCGUAGGCGGGAUGCCAAGUCAGCGGUAAAAAAGCGGUGCUCAACGCCGUCGAGCCGUUGAAACUGGCGUUCUUGAGUGGGCGAGAAGUAUGCGGAAUGCGUGGUGUAGCGGUGAAAUGCAUAGAUAUCACGCAGAACUCCGAUUGCGAAGGCAGCAUACCGGCGCCCUACUGACGCUGAGGCACGAAAGCGUGGGUAUCGAACAGGAUUAGAUACCCUGGUAGUCCACGCAGUAAACGAUGAAUGCUAACUGUCCGGUGCGAGUGAGCGCUGGGCGGUACAGCGAAAGCGUUAAGCAUUCCACCUGGGG